rnacentral:rRNA from 1 species
AGUCAACAUGCCCAGAGGACGUGGAUAACCUCGGGAAACUGAGUCUAAACCGCGAUAAGUGAGGAUUUCUGGAAUGGUUCCUGACUAAAAUCUAUAUGGCCUCUGGAUUGGACUGCGGCCGAUCAGGCUGUUGGUGAGGUAAUGGCCCACCAAACCUGUAACCGGUACGGGCUCUGAGAGGAGGAGCCCGGAGAUGGGCACUGAGACAAGGGCCCAGGCCCUAUGGGGCGCAGCAGGCGCGAAACCUCUGCAAUAGGCGAAAGCCUGACAGGGUUACUCUGAGUGACUUUCGCUAAGAAAGUCUUUUGGCACCUUUAAAAAGGGUGCAGAAUAAGGGGUGGGCAAGUCUGGUGUCAGCCGCCGCGGUAAUACCAGCACCCCGAGUGGUCGGGACGAUUAUUGGGCCUAAAGCAUCCGUAGCCGGUUCUGCAAGUCCCCCGUUAAAUCCAGCUGCUCAACAGAUGGGCCGCGGAGGAUACUCCAGAGCUAGGAGGCAGGAGAGGCAAGCGGUACUCAGUGGGUAGGGGUAAAAUCCGUUGAUCCAUUGAAGACCACCAGUGGCGAAGGCGGCUUGCCAGAAUGCGCUCGACGGUGAGGGAUGAAAGCUGGGGGAGCAAACCGGAUUAGAUACCCGGGUAGUCCCAGCCGUAAACGAUGCAGACUCGGUGAUGGGUUGGCUUCGCGCUAACCCAGUGCCGCAGGGAAGCCGUUAAGUCUGCCGCCUGGGUAGUACGGU